rnacentral:rRNA from 1 species
AGAGCGAACGCUGGCGGCAGGCUUAACACAUGCAAGUCGAGCGGGCGUAGCAAUACGUCAGCGGCAGACGGGUGAGUAACGCGUGGGAACAUACCUUUUGGUUCGGAACAACACAGGGAAACUUGUGCUAAUACCGGAUAAGCCCUUACGGGGAAAGAUUUAUCGCCGAAAGAUUGGCCCGCGUCUGAUUAGCUAGUUGGUGAGGUAACGGCUCACCAAGGCGACGAUCAGUAGCUGGUCUGAGAGGAUGAUCAGCCACAUUGGGACUGAGACACGGCCCAAACUCCUACGGGAGGCAGCAGUGGGGAAUAUUGGACAAUGGGCGCAAGCCUGAUCCAGCCAUGCCGCGUGAGUGAUGAAGGCCCUAGGGUUGUAAAGCUCUUUGUGCGGGAAGAUAAUGACGGUACCGCAAGAAUAAGCCCGGACUAACUUCGUGCCAGCAGCCGC